rnacentral:rRNA from 1 species
UACGUAGGGCGCAGGCGUUGUCCGGAAUUAUUGGGCGUAAAGAGCUCGUAGGCGGUCUGUCGCGUCUGCCGUGAAAGUCCGGGGCUCAACUCCGGAUCUGCGGUGGGUACGGGCAGACUAGAGUGAUGUAGGGGAGACUGGAAUUCCUGGUGUAGCGGUGAAAUGCGCAGAUAUCAGGAGGAACACCGGUGGCGAAGGCGGUCCCCUGGGCCGGAACUGACGCUGAGGCGCGAAAGCGUGGGUAGCAAACGGG